rnacentral:lncRNA from 1 species
CACAAAGGUCUUAACAGAAAACAUACCUGAAAAUCAUCAAUCUGCGUCGCGCCCUGCUAGAAAAAAAGAAAAGGCGAAAUUAGACAUACACAAAGGUCUUAACAGAAAACAUACCUGGAAUCCUCAAUCUGCGUCGUCGCGCCCUGCUAGAAAAAAAGAAAAGACAAAUUAGACAUACACAAAGGUCUUAACAGAAAACAUACCUGGGAAUCCUCAAUCUGCGUCGCGCCCUGCAAAAAAAAAAAAAGCCACACGACCUAAAGAAAAAAAAAAAAGGAACGCAAUUAGACAUACACAAAGGUCUUAACAGAAAACAUACCUGGAAAAUCCUCAAUCUGCGAUGCGCCCUGCUAGAAAAAAAGAAAAAGACAACAUUAGACAUACACAAAGGUCUUAACAGAAAACAUACCUGGAAAAUCCUCAAUCUGCGUCGCGCCCUGCUAGAAAAAAAGAAAAAAGCAACAUUAGACAUACACAAAGGUCUUAACAGAAAACAUACCUGGGAAUCCUCAAUCUGCGUCGUCCCGCACAAAAAAAAGAAGGCCCUGCUAAAGAAAAAAAGAAAAGGAACGCAAUUAGACAUACACAAAGGCCUUAACAGAAAACAUACCUGCAAAUGUCCCAUAGGCCACAUGACCUAAAGGAAAAAAAAGGAACCAUUUGACAUACACAAAGGCCUUAACAGAAAACAUACCUGCAAAUCUCCAAUCUGCGUCGCGCCCUGCCAGAAUAAAAGAAAAGACAACAUUAGACAUACACAAAGGUCUUAACAGAAAACAUACCUGGGAAUCCUCAAUCUGCGUCGCGCCCUGCUAGAAAAAAAAGAAAAGGCGCAAUUAGACAUACACAAAGGUCUUAACAGAAAACAUACCUGGGAAUCCUCAAUCUGCGUCGCGCCCUGCUAGAAAAAAAGAAAAGGCGACAUUAGACAUACACAAAGGUCUUAACAGAAAACAUACCUGGAAA